rnacentral:lncRNA from 1 species
GGAGACGGUGGUGGAGACUGCUCGGCAAUGGAAUUCGGAACCUGGGAGGCUCCGGAAGAUGACGGGAUAUCGGUACCGGUAUUUCCAGAGGCAGAAGCCCGGGAAGAGUGUCCGUCUGCCAUAAAGUUAAUGUAGUGCGUCCUCCGUCGAGUCAUCGUCUGCAAAACGGGUAAAAAUUAAAUUCCAAACAUAUUAUUUAAUUUUGAUCCUAA